CUACGGGUGGCAGCAGUGGGGAAUAUUGCACAAUGGGCGCAAGCCUGAUGCAGCCAUGCCGCGUGUAUGAAGAAGGCCUUCGGGUUGUAAAGUACUUUCAGCGGGGAGGAAGGGAGUAAAGUUAAUACCUUUGCUCAUUGACGUUACCCGCAGAAGAAGCACCGGCUAACUCCGUGCCAGCAGCCGCGGUAAUACGGAGGGUGCAAGCGUUAAUCGGAAUUACUGGGCGUAAAGCGCACGCAGGCGGUUUGUUAAGUCAGAUGUGAAAUCCCCGGGCUCAACCUGGGAACUGCAUCUGAUACUGGCAAGCUUGAGUAUCGGAGAGGGGGGUAGAAUUCCAGGUGUAGCGGUGAAAUGCGUAGAGAUCUGGAGGAAUACCGGUGGCGAAGGCGGCCCCCUGGACGAAGACUGACGCUCAGGUGCGAAAGCGUGGGGAGCAAACAGGAUUAGAUACCCCAGUAGUC
rnacentral:rRNA from 1 species